AUCCUUGAUGAUGCACUGGAGAGGUUUUAGUUGGGGGCUGUAGGUGAUGGCUAGUGGCGUUCUGUUACUUGCUUUGUUGGGCCUAUCCUGUAGCAGGUGACUUCUUGGUGCUCUUCUGGCUCU